rnacentral:rRNA from 1 species
UACGGAGGGUGCAAGCGUUAAUCGGAAUUACUGGGCGUAAAGCGCACGUAGGCGGUAAGUUAAGUCAGAUGUGAAAGCCCCGGGCUCAACCUGGGAACUGCAUUUGAAACUGGCUUACUCGAGUUUGGUAGAGGAAAGUGGAAUUCCGGGUGUAGCGGUGAAAUGCGUAGAUAUCCGGAGGAACACCAGUGGCGAAGGCGACUUUCUGGACCAAAACUGACGCUGAGGUGCGAAAGCGUGGGUAGCAAACAGG